rnacentral:tRNA from 1 species
UGGGGAGUGGUGUAACGGUAACACGUCAGAAUUUGGAUCUGAAGAUUCCAGGUUCGAAUCCUGGCUCCCCAGCCA